rnacentral:lncRNA from 12 species
UACAUGAGAAGUUCCUAAUACCAUAAGGUGCAUAGCAAAUGCUUAAUAAAUGUUAGCUAUUCUUAUUAUAAUUCCUAGUAUAAAUCUCUUAUGUGUUCAGCAAUUUGCAGGAGCCUAAAGUGGUGGAGCAAAAAUCCCUGUGUGCCAUCUGCCUGCAUCUCAAUAGAGACUCUCAGAUGAAACAUCACAAUGGUUCCUGGUCAUUCAGGAGUGAGUGGGACUUGGGGGCCAGAGUAUAAACUGAGGGAUCUGAACUUGUUGAAACCAGACAAGCAAGGUCUAUCAGUCAAGAGAAGUUUAAUCCAGAAAGCAAACCUGAGAAACAGCUGUUUUUGAGUGAUUGGCCCCCAGCAUACCCCAGCCAUCCUGUCACCCCUAGAGGCCAUUCCUCAGAAGCCAUCUGUUGUGAGUUGAGAAGAUGAAAGGUGUCAGUCCCAUAAUGCUUGUAACUUAGGGGAGGCAACAAGAUUCUUUCUUUGUUUUAUCCUUUUAAGUCGAGCAUGUAACUGUUACGACUGGGGGAGGAGUCAUCACCUCCAUUCCCACCGCAUGGGGAGAAGGGGUUUGUCAAUCUCCUUAGCUAGAAGAGAGCAUUUUUGCUCCUGAUGUCCUGGGUUGAUUUAUUUUGGAAUACCAGCCUUUCUUUGUUCCAGGCUGUUUUGUUGUUGUGAAAUUGCAACCCUUGCCAUUUAAAUUGUGGGCAAGAGAAAAGAGUUUCAGGUAUCAACCUGAAGUUCUGGAAGAGUUUUACCAAGCCUCUAAAUUAAAACUGGUGAAGUUUACUAAAUUGUCCCUCUAGUUGUAGGAGAAAGGGUGGUUCAGGUUCAUAAAUGGGAGUAUGGAGGCUUUCUUUACCUUAGUUUCUGUCUUACCUCUGAAGAUACCUUCUUUUGGUCCACCCAGCUGGGAGUAACUGAAAAAGAAGGCUUGAACCACUAUCUUUCAUGUUAUACAUUUCAUCUACCCAAAUUCUGGAUCCACAUUCCUCCUUCUUAAUAAUAACUAACAUGUGGGUAUUGAAGUACAAUUUAUAAAACAUCCUUUAUCUCAUUCUGAAAAAUGGGGACUCUGAGUUUUCCUGACUUGGCCAGCAUUCCAUAUCAGUAGAUGGUGGAGGCAGACCAAAACCCCAUAGCACAGGGCUCUACAUGGCAUUCACAGUUCAAUCCAAGCAUAAUCUUAGGAGAAAGUUCUCAGGAAUGCAUCAUUUUGAAAAAGGAAAAAAGUUUUAGGAUCCAGAGAUUUAAAUAAGUUACAAACAUCGGUAGAUGUGUGUGUGCGUGCGUGUGUGUGCACAUGGAUAUAGUGAGGGAUGCAAAAUCCGGAAGUAAUUAAC